CCAUAGGUAUGCUUAGGGAGGAGCUUGCGUCACCUUAGUUAGUUGGUGGGGUAAAGGCCUACCAAGACUAUGAUGUGUAGCCGGGCUGAGAGGUUGAACGGCCACAUUGGGACUGAGACACGGCCCAAACUCCUACGGGAGGCAGCAGUAGGGAAUUUUCGGCAAUGGAGGAAACUCUGACCGAGCAACGCCGCGUGAACGAUGAAGUAUUUCGGUAUGUAAAGUUCUUUUAUUAGGGAAGAAUAAAUGAUGGAAAAAUCAUUCUGACUGUACCUAAUGAAUAAGCCCCGGCUAACUAUGUGCCAGCAGCCGCGGUAAUACAUAGGGGGCAAGCGUUAUCCGGAAUUAUUGGGCGUAAAGGGUGCGUAGGCGGUUAAAUAAGUUUAUGGUCUAAGUGCAAUGCUCAACAUUGUGAUGCUAUAAAAACUGUUUAGCUAGAGUAAGAUAGAGGCAAGUGGAAUUCCAUGUGUAGUGGUAAAAUGCGUAAAUAUAUGGAGGAACACCAGUAGCGAAGGCGGCUUGCUGGGUCUUUACUGACGCUGAGGCACGAAAGCGUGGGGAGCAAACAGGAUUAGAUACCCUGGUAGUCCACGCNGUAAACGAUGAGUACUAAACGUUGGGUAAAACCAGUGUUGAAGUUAACACAUUAAGUACUCCGCCUGAGUAGUACGUACGCAAGUAUGAAACUUAAAGGAAUUGACGGGACUCCGCACAAGCGGUGGAUCAUGUUGUUUAAUUCGAAGGUACCCGAAAAACCUCACCAGGUCUUGACAUGCUUCUGCAAAGUUGUAGAAAUACAGUGGAGGUUAUCAGUUGCACAGGUGGUGCAUGGUUGUCGUCAGCUCGUGUCGUGAGAUGUUGGGUUAAGUCCCGCAACGAGCGCAACCCUUAUUGUUAGUUACCAGCACGUAAUGGUGGGGACUUUAGCAAGACUGCCAGUGAUAAAUUGGAGGAAGGUGGCGGACGACGUCAAAUCAUCAUGCCCCUUAUGACCUGGGCUACAAACGUGAUACAA
rnacentral:rRNA from 1 species